rnacentral:lncRNA from 1 species
AAAGUAGAAAAUUUCUUUUUUCCUGAAAUUUCCUUUUCUACUUGCUGGAAAAUUUCCUUUUACUGUUAGGAUUGCUAGAGAAUUGCUAAAAUUUACUGAUUGAUCUGAUUUAAUUCUUUCUUGAUAUUGAUAAAAUCAAACCGAAAAAAUGGGCCUUGAAACAUUAAUAUGAUCUGAUGAUCUGAUGAUACUUGCAUUAUUAUUCUGAUUGCUUUAUCAUACUAAAUGUUUUAAGAAAAGUAAAACAUAAGAAUUAUUGACCUGGUCUCACAUUGAUUAAAAAUCGGCCUCAAUAUGAUUGUUGUUAUGAUUGAUGCUUUGAUUGCAUUCAGAUAUAAAAUCCGGCCUCUAGGGUUGUUGCAUCACAAUUUUAUAAGGCCGU